rnacentral:lncRNA from 1 species
ACUAGCGAAGUGCUAGAAGUAAUCUAUGGCAAGGAGUGAGACUCGCGGUAGAGAUAGAAGUGGCGAAAUAACUCUCAGAGCAAUAUGAGUUGUAAAUUGCGAGAGUUGAGCCAUGAUGCUUAUGAGAACACCCGAGUGGCCCGAAAAUUUCGGAUGUCAUUCCGGUAGAUUGAACAGUGAAAGUAACAUCACUGUUGAGAGAAUGAUCGAUUAGUGGCCAAGUUUGAGCACGUGGGCCUAGUAGUACCUCAAGGUGAGGUAGGCGAUUGUGCUCGUGCGGCCGGUGUGCAUAGGCAAGAUUGCCUAAUGUUGGACUUCGUGUGGAACGCUGUAGAGGCGUAGAACGCUCGAGUGUAGAGACCCGUAGAGUACGGAUGCGUAUUCAGCCGAGUGAGUGAGUUGGCAGUAGCACUUGAGCAUUGCUAGGUGUGAAGCGUGCCAUGGAUCACUCGUGGGACUGGUGACUCGCACUAGGAGUAUAGGAGCCGAUAUUGGUACGUGUGACUCGGUAGAGUAUGUCGUGUAGGACGACGACGGCGGGUAGUGCUUGAGGACGACCCGUGCCUGGACCGUUUGUGGACUGUGGAGCCUGGGCCCAUUGGGCAGGCGCAGUCAGCUGCGAGUGACAGCGGCCCGGUACCUACGGGUAGGGCGGAGUUCUGGUCAGGACGGUAGUCCGAGUUUAGGCUCGGGAGCGUGGAAUGCCACGUGAUAAAUUGUGUGACCGAUGGUACACCGAGUAUGGUUGUGACCCAACCCGAGGACUUGACGUGGUUUGGGGUCUUAGUUGCUCCUGGUUGGAGUGUGUGCGAAUUCCCAAGUGAGAAUUUCGCCCGAACAUGAUUAGGUCUGCAUUUGCGAGCGAGAGACGCUGCGUAUUGAGACAGGUUUAGGUGGUAGGCCUACGUAGG